UAAGCUGGUAUUGUGUUCUGAUUACCGAUGCUUAGCGUAGGUGGGAGACUUUGAAGGCGCGGCUUAGGUUGCGCUGGAGUCGAAAUGUGAAACACCACUCUUUGUUAAUUAGAAUUCUAACCUUGAUCCUGUGAAUCCAGGCAAGGGACCGUGCCAGCGGGUCAGUUUGACUGGGGCGGUUUCCUCCCAAAGAGUAACGGAGGAGCGCGAAGCUUGGCUCAGUACGGUUGGCAAUCGUACGUCGAGCGUAUGGGUAGAAGCCAGGUUAACUGUGAGACCCACAAGUCGAGCAGGUGCGAAAGCAGGCCCAAAUGAUCCGGCGGUUGAAUGUGGAAUUGCCGUCGCUCAUCGGACAAAAGGUACGCUAGGGAUAACAGGCUGAUCGGAUCCAAGAGUUCACAUCGACGAUCCGGUUUGGCACCUCGAUGUCGGCUCAUCGCAUCCUGGGGCUGGAGAAGGUCCCAAGGGUCCGGCUGUUCGCCGGUUAAAGCGGUACGCGAGCUGGGUUCAGAACGUCGUGAGACAGUUCGGUCCUUAUCCACUGUGGGCGGAGGAAACUUGAGGGGUUCUUUCCUUAGUACGAGAGGACCGGGAAAGACGCGCUUCUGGUGUGGCAGUUGUUCCGUCAGGGGCAUCGCUGCGUAGCCAUGCGCGGAAGAGAUAAGCGCUGAAAGCAUCUAAGCGCCAAGCUCAUCCCAAGAUAAGGUUUCCCCGGACGCAAGUCCCUGAAGACCCCCGGCAGACUACCGGGUUGAUAGGUCAGGCGUGCAAGCGCAGCAAUGCGUUCAGCGGACUGAUACUAAUAGGUCGUGAGGCUUGAUCGCUUUUUUAUUA
rnacentral:rRNA from 1 species